rnacentral:rRNA from 1 species
AUUGAACGCUGGCGGCAUGCUUUACACAUGCAAGUCGAACGGCAGCGCGGGCUUCGGCCUGGCGGCGAGUGGCGAACGGGUGAGUAAUGCAUCGGAACGUGCCCAGUAGUGGGGGAUAGCCCGGCGAAAGCCGGAUUAAUACCGCAUACGACCUGAGGGUGAAAGCGGGGGACCGAAAGGCCUCGCGCUAUUGGAGCGGCCGAUGUCGGAUUAGCUAGUUGGUGGGGUAAAGGCUUACCAGGGCGACGAUCCGUAGCUGGUCUGAGAGGACGACCAGCCACACUGGGACUGAGACACGGCCCAGACUCCUACGGGAGGCAGCAGUGGGGAAUUUUGGACAAUGGGGGCAACCCUGAUCCAGCUAUGCCGCGUGCGGGAAGAAGGCCUUCGGGUUGUAAACCGCUUUUGUUCGGGAAGAAAUCCUCUGGGCUAAUACCCCGGGGGGAUGACGGUACCGGAAGAAUAAGCACCGGCUAACUACGUG